CCUACGGGGGGCAGCAGUGGGGAAUAUUGCACAAUGGGGGAAACCCUGAUGCAGCGACGCCGCGUGAAUGAUGAAGUCUCUCGGUAUGUAAAGCUCUAUCAGUAGGGAAGAAAAUGACGGUACCUGACUAAGAAGCUCCGGUCAAUUACGUGCCAGGAGCCGCGGUAAUACGGAGGGGGCAAGCGUUAUCCGGAUUUACUGGGUGUAAGGGGAGCGUAGACGGGAGCACAAGUCUGGAGUGAAAUCCCGGGGCUUAACCGCGGAACUGCAGUGGAAACUGGGCGGCUGGAGUGCAGGAGAGGUAGGCGGAAUUCCUGGUGUAGCGGUGAAAUGCGUAGAUAUUAGGAGGAACACCGAUGGCGAAGGCGGCUUACUGGACUGUAACUGACGUUGAGGCUCGAAAGCGUGGGGAGCAAACAGGAUUAGAUACCCCGGUAGUC
rnacentral:rRNA from 1 species